GAUGAACGCUAGCUACAGGCUUAACACAUGCAAGUCGAGGGGAAACGACAUCGAAAGCUUGCUUUUGAUGGGCGUCGACCGGCGCACGGGUGAGUAACGCGUAUCCAACCUGCCCAUCACUUGGGAAUAACCUUGCGAAAGUAAGACUAAUACCCAAUGAUAUCCCACGAAGGCAUCGGAAUGGGAUUAAAGAUUUAUCGGUGAUGGAUGGGGAUGCGUCUGAUUAGCUUGUUGGCGGGGUAACGGCCCACCAAGGCAACGAUCAGUAGGGGUUCUGAGAGGAAGGUCCCCCACAUUGGAACUGAGACACGGUCCAAAAUCCUACGGGAGGCAGCAGUGAGGAAUAUUGGGCAAUGGGCGAGAGCCUGAACCAGCCAAGUAGCGUGCAGGAAGACGGCCCUAUGGGUUGUAAACUGCUUUUAUAAGGGAAUAAAGUGGGUCACGUGUGACUUUUUGCAUGUACCUUAUGAAUAAGGACCGGCUAAUUCCGUG
rnacentral:rRNA from 1 species